rnacentral:rRNA from 1 species
UAAGCGAAUCACUUAAAGUGCGUCGUAGUCCGGAUUGGAGUCUGCAACUCGACUCCAUGAAGUCGGAAUCGCUAGUAAUCGCAUAUCAGAAUGAUGCGGUGAAUACGUUCCCGGGCCUUGUACACACCGCCCGUCACACCAUGGGAGUGGGUUGCUCCAGAAGUAGAUAGUCUAACCCUCGGGAGGACGUUUACCACGGAGUGAUUCAUGACUGGGGUGAAGUCGUAACAAGGUAGCCCUAGGGGAACCUGGGGCUGGAUCACCUCCUUAUACGA